rnacentral:tRNA from 1 species
GGUCGGUUCAUCUAAUAGGUUAGGAUUACAGAUUUUCAAUCUGUCCACACGAGUUCGAUCCUCGUACCGACUA